GGCUGGGAAACCGCUUCCGCCUUGUGUGGGGGAGGAACUUCCGGACUCCUAGGGCAAAAGCGCCGCGUGAAAACGCGGGAGGGCAGGGCUAUAUUACCCUGUUCGACGGAAAGUGCAACAGAAAAAAUACCGCCUGCUUUGCAGGUAAGGGUGAAAUGGCGGUUUAAAAGACCACCGCAUAAAGAGUAAUCUUUAUGGCAAGGCAAACCCCGCUUGGAGCAAGGUCAAAGACGCCGAUGCAGUGCCCCUGCGCUAAGGUAAAGUGGACCGCUUAGACAAAUGGUUUCCGGCUUUAGUUUAACUAAAGCAACAGAAUCCGGGGUAUGGCC
rnacentral:RNase_P_RNA from 1 species